GUAUGCAGAUGAGUGAUUUACUGGAGUUGUAAGCAGUACUUACUAGAGGCCCUAGAUCCUGAACCCAAAUCCAAAGUGACAUGGGGUGUAUCAUGGAUACUGCAUGUAGAGUUGGUUUGUUACAGUUGACUUGAAAAUUACUUUGACUGUACACCGUGCCAUCUAAUGUGCAGGAAACCUUAACCAAAAUAGAAAUAUCACUCUUGACUUGCAUGUGAUUUAUUCAGAGUUAUAUCUAGCAAUUUAUGUUGAAUUUUUUUUCAAAUGUUGGCAUUACAAGUUCACUGAAUAUAUGUGAAUGGUUUCAGUUAAGUCAUCAUUGUUAUUCCCUGUUGAUUCCAUAGUUCUUUCCCUGCUGAUACCUUGGUGUUGUUUCUGGUGUCACCCGGAGUACCUCGCCAUGAAUAAAGGGAGCAGUGCGAACACAGAAGGGCCACUCCACCGGCGGCCUGAACCUAACGCCAGGUCUGUCAUAUGCUCGGAAUAAGGCCAACUGCAUCUGCAUCUGAGCACAUGAUCAUAUCUAGAUUGCAAGUACUUCGGAUUGCAUCAGGGUGUCAAGAGAGGGGAAAUGUUUGUCGGGACGUGUUUGGAAGCCUAUUAAAAAUGUUAUAGAACAACCUUGCCAUGUGACAGUGCCUCAUGUAUAAAAUCAUAAGCAAAGUAUAUAAGCAAAUUAACCAUGCCCAUAUCUUUUUAGUGUUGGACGAAUUUUUAAUG